rnacentral:rRNA from 1 species
UACGUAGGGCGCAAGCGUUGUCCGGAAUUAUUGGGCGUAAAGAGCUCGUAGGUGGCUUGUCGCGUCUGCCGUGAAAUCCCGUGGCUUAACUGCGGGUCUGCAGCCGAUACGGGCAGGCUGGAGUUCGGUAGGGGAGACUGGAAUUCCUGGUGUAGCGGUGAAAUGCGCAGAUAUCAGGAGGAACGCCGGUGGCGAAGGCGGGUCUCUGGGCCGAUACUGACGCUGAGAAGCGAAAGCGUGGGGAGCGAACAGG